rnacentral:tRNA from 1 species
AAACUUAGGAUAAAUAGACCAAGAGCCUUCAAAGCCCUAAGUAGAAGUUAAAUUCUUCUAGUUUC